UAGGGAAUCUUCCACAAUGGACGAAAGUCUGAUGGAGCAACGCCGCGUGAGUGAUGAAGGGUUUCGGCUCGUAAAACUCUGUUGUUGGAGAAGAACGGGUGUCAGAGUAACUGUUGACAUCGUGACGGUAUCCAACCAGAAAGCCACGGCUAACUACGUGCCAGCAGCCGCGGUAAUACGUAGGUGGCAAGCGUUGUCCGGAUUUAUUGGGCGUAAAGCGAGCGCAGGCGGUUUUUUAGGUCUGAUGUGAAAGCCUUCGGCUUAACCGGAGAAGUGCAUCGGAAACCGGGAGACUUGAGUGCAGAAGAGGACAGUGGAACUCCAUGUGUAGCGGUGAAAUGCGUAGAUAUAUGGAAGAACACCAGUGGCGAAGGCGGCUGUCUGGUCUGCAACUGACGCUGAGGCUCGAAAGCAUGGGUAGCGAACAGGAUUAGAUACCCUGGUGGUCCAUGCCGUAAACGAUGAGUGCUAAGUGUUGGAGGGUUUCCGCCCUUCAGUGCUGCAGCUAACGCAUUAAGCACUCCGCCUGGGGAGUACGACCGCAAGGUUGAAAC
rnacentral:rRNA from 1 species